AUAGCUCAGUGGUAGAGUGCGUGCUUAGCAUACACAAGGUCCUGGGUUCAAUCCCCAGU
rnacentral:tRNA from 1 species